GUGCUCGCUUCGGCAGCACGCCUACUAAAAUUGGUACGAUACAGAGAAGAUUAGCAUGGCCCUGUGCAAGGUUGACAUGAUAAUUCGUGAGGCGUAAUCAAUUUUU